rnacentral:rRNA from 1 species
UAUGGUAUAACUUAGUGGCAGACGGGUGAGUAAUGUAUAGGAAUCUACCUAGUAGUACGGAAUAAUUGUUGGAAGCGGCAACUAAUACCGUAUACGCCCUAUGGGGGAAAGAUUUAUUGCUAUUAGAUGAGCCUAUAUUAGAUUAGCUAGUUGGUAAGGUAAUGGCUUACCAAGGCAAUGAUCUAUAGCUGAUCUGAGAGGAUGAUCAGCCACACUGGAACUGAGAUACGGUCCAGACUCCUACGGGAGGCAGCAGUGGGAAUAUUGGACAAUGGGCGAAAGCCUGAUCCAGCCAUGCCGCAUGAGUGAAGAAGGCCUUUGGGUUGUAAAGCUCUUUCGGUGAGGAAGAUAAUGACGGUACUCACAGAAGAAGUCCUGGCUAACUCCGUGCCAGCAGCCGCGGUAAUACGGAGAGGGCUAGCGUUAUUCGGAAUUAUUGGGCGUAAAGAGCGCGUAGGCUGGUUAGUAAGUUAAAAGUGAAAUCCCAAAGCUCAACUUUGGAAUUGCUUUUAAAACUGCUAACCUAGAGAUUGAAAGAGGAUAGAGGAAUUCCUAGUGUAGAGGUGAAAUUCGUAAAUAUUAGGAGGAACACCAGUGGCGAAGGCGUCUAUCUGGUUCAAAUCUGACGCUGAGGCGCGAAGGCGUGGGGAGCAAACAGGAUUAGAUACCCUGGUAGUCCACGCUGUAAACGAUGAAUGUUAAAUAUGGGAAGUUUACUUUCUGUAUUACAGCUAACGCGUUAAACAUUCCGCCUGGGGACUACGGUCGCAAGAUUAAAACUCAAAGGAAUUGACGGGGACCCGCACAAGCGGUGGAGCAUGUGGUUUAAUUCGAUGCAACGCGAAAAACCUUACCACCUCCUUGACAUGAAAAU